GCCUGGGUGGCUCAGUCGGUUAAGCGUCUGACUUCGACUCAGGUCACGAUCUCGCGGUCCGUGAGUUCGAGCCCCGCGUCGGGCU
rnacentral:tRNA from 1 species